AGCCCGUUCGUCUAGCGGCCAAGGAUAAAGUAAAUUUAAAAAACUUCCUUUGAGGGGACUCUGGAUCCUCUGACGGAGGUUCAAAUCCUCCACGGGCUA
rnacentral:tRNA from 1 species